ACUAGCCAACGUGCGUUAUUAACAACGGCAAAAUAAGUUCUACGCUGUUGUCAUUGUCCGGAGUAUAUAAGAAGGUACGAGAUACAGUACCGGUCCGCGUCCUCUCCCAGUAGAGUGAUGACGGCGGAGUCGGCCAGAGUGAUGGCGGGGGCGCUGAAGAACUCCCCGAUGACGACCAGGAGAAGCAGCAAGAAGAACGUCUUCUGGAUGUUAGGGGUCCUGGAUGAGUGAGAAGAGUUGGAAUGUAACGGCGUGACCCAGUCGCUCUGGGUGUUGGGGUCGAAGUUGGUGGC